rnacentral:tRNA from 1 species
UCACUGAUAGUGUGUUGGCUAGUACACCCGCCUGUCACGCUGGAGAGCUGGGUUCAAUCCCCAGUCAGAGAG